rnacentral:rRNA from 1 species
AGUGGGGAAUUUUGGACAAUGGGCGCAAGCCUGAUCCAGCCAUUCCGCGUGCAGGAUGAAGGCCCUCGGGUUGUAAACUGCUUUUGUACGGAACGAAAAGGUCCUGGUUAAUACCCGGGGCUGAUGACGGUACCGUAAGAAUAAGCACCGGCUAACUACGUGCCAGCAGCCGCGGUAAUACGUAGGGUGCAAGCGUUAAUCGGAAUUACUGGGCGUAAAGCGUGCGCAGGCGGUGAUGUAAGACAGAUGUGAAAUCCCCGGGCUCAACCUGGGAACUGCAUCUGUGACUGCAUCGCUGGAGUGCGGCAGAGGGGGAUGGAAUUCCGCGUGUAGCAGUGAAAUGCGUAGAUAUGCGGAGGAACACCGAUGGCGAAGGCAAUCCCCUGGGCCUGCACUGACGCUCAUGCACGAAAGCGUGGGGAGCAAA